GAUGAACGCUGGCGGCGUGCCUAAUACAUGCAAGUCGAGCGAACAGACGAGGAGCUUGCUCCUCUGACGUUAGCGGCGGACGGGUGAGUAACACGUGGAUAACCUACCUAUAAGACUGGGAUAACUUCGGGAAACCGGAGCUAAUACCGGAUAAUAUAUUGAACCGCAUGGUUCAAUAGUGAAAGACGGUUUUGCUGUUACUUAUAGAUGGAUCCGCGCCGCAUUAGCUAGUUGGUAAGGUAACGGCUUACCAAGGCAACGAUGCGUAGCCGACCUGAGAGGGUGAUCGGCCACACUGGAACUGAGACACGAUCCAGACUCCUACGGGAGGCAGCAGUAGGGAAUCUUCCGCAAUGGGCGAAAGCUUGACGGAGCAACGCCGCGUGAGUGAUGAAGGUCUUCGGAUCGUAAACUCUGUUAUUAGGGAAGAACAAAUGUGUAAGUAACUAUGCACGUCUUGACGGUACCUAAUCAGAAAGCCACGGCUAACUACGUG
rnacentral:rRNA from 1 species